AACGAACGCUGGCGGCGCGCCUAACACAUGCAAGUCGAACGAGAAUCCGGGGCAACCCGGUAGUAAAGUGGCAAACGGGUGAGGAAUACAUGGGUAACCUACCCUUGAGAAGGGAAUAACCCGCCGAAAGGUGAGCUAAUACCCUAUACGCUAUCUUUUUUUCGAAAAGGAUAGGAAAGCCGGGUCGAGGACCUGGUACUCAAGGAGGGGCUCAUGUCCUAUCAGCUUGUUGGUGGGGUAACGGCCUACCAAGGCUACGACGGGUAGCUGGUCUGAGAGGAUGAUCAGCCACACUGGCACCGAGAUACGGGGCCAGACUCCUACGGGAGGCAGCAGUGAGGAAUAUUGCGCAAUGGGGCGAAAGCCUGACGCAGCGACGCCGCGUGGGGGAUGAAGGUUUUCGGAUUGUAAACCCCUUUCAUGAGGAAAGAUAAAGUGGGUAACCACUUAGACGGUACCUCAAGAAGAAGCCACGGCUAACUUCGUG
rnacentral:rRNA from 1 species